UCAGAGUGGGGAGUGCAUGUUUUUCAAAAACAAAAAGUAGGCAAAAACAGUCCACCACCCCAUCUUUCCUGCCCAGGCCCCUGGCUGGGGGAGGCCAAGGAGUGGCUUAAGUUGUCCAGCUUCUGGGCCCUCCUCCCUCCCAUCAAGACCUGGAAGGAGGGGCUGAGCCAGGGGCCGGCCCCAGAGGCCCAGCCAGGCCAGCAGCAGCAGGUCUUUGAGCGUCUGGUUGAAUGGGACGUCGAGGAAGUCCCAGAGCAGCAGGUCACUGUAGCGACGGCUCUCCCAGGCCACUAGUGAGUCUAGGUCAGGCCCCGCCUCACCCACCGGAGACCCUAGCAGGAAGA
rnacentral:lncRNA from 1 species